UACAGAGGUCCCGAGCGUUGUUCGGAUUCAUUGGGCGUAAAGGAUGCGUAGAUGGUUCAGUAAGUUACUGGUGGGAAAUCGAGGCCCAACCUCGUGGAAGUUAGUAAUACUGUUGAACUUGAGUGCAGGAGAGGUUAACGGAACUUCAUGUGGAGCGGUAAAAUGCGUAGAUAUAUGAAAGAACAUCAAUAUAGCGAAGGCAGUUAACUAUUCUGCUACUGACAUUGAGGCAUGAAAGCGUGGGGAGCAAAACGG
rnacentral:rRNA from 1 species